rnacentral:rRNA from 1 species
AGUCGAACGGUGAAGCUCCAGCUUGCUGGAGUGGAUCAGUGGCGAACGGGUGAGUAACACGUGAGCAACCUGCCCCGGACUCUGGGAUAAGCGCUGGAAACGGCGUCUAAUACCGGAUAUGCACCAGAACCGCAUGGUUACUGGUGGGAAAGAUUUUUUGGUCUGGGAUGGGCUCGCGGCCUAUCAGCUUGUUGGUGAGGUAAUGGCUCACCAAGGCGUCGACGGGUAGCCGGCCUGAGAGGGUGACCGGCCACACUGGGACUGAGACACGGCCCAGACUCCUACGGGAGGCAGCAGUGGGGAAUAUUGCACAAUGGGCGGAAGCCUGAUGCAGCAACGCCGCGUGGGGGAUGACGGCCUUCGGGUUGUAAACCUCUUUUAGCAGGGAAGAAGCGAGAGUGACGGUACCUGCAGAAAAAGCGCCGGCUAACUACGUGCCAGCAGCCGCGGUAAUACGUAGGGCGCAAGCGUUAUCCGGAAUUAUUGGGCGUAAAGAGCUCGUAGGCGGUCUGUCGCGUCUGCUGUGAAAUCCCGAGGCUCAACCUCGGGCCUGCAGUGGGUACGGGCAGACUAGAGUGCGGUAGGGGAGAUUGGAAUUCCUGGUGUAGCGGUGGAAUGCGCAGAUAUCAGGAGGAACACCGAUGGCGAAGGCAGAUCUCUGGGCCGUAACUGACGCUGAGGAGCGAAAGGGUGGGGAGCAAACAGGCUUAGAUACCCUGGUAGUCCACCCCGUAAACGUUGGGAACUAGUUGUGGGGGCCUUUCCACGGUCUCCGUGACGCAGCUAACGCAUUAAGUUCCCCGCCUGGGGAGUACGGCCGCAAGGCUAAAACUCAAAGGAAUUGACGGGGACCCGCACAAGCGGCGGAGCAUGCGGAUUAAUUCGAUGCAACGCGAAGAACCUUACCAAGGCUUGACAUAUAGAGGAAAGUUCUGGAAACAGUUCCCCCGCAAGGUCUCUAUACAGGUGGUGCAUGGUUGUCGUCAGCUCGUGUCGUGAGAUGUUGGGUUAAGUCCCGCAACGAGCGCAACCCUCGUUCUAUGUUGCCAGCACGUAAUGGUGGGAACUCAUGGGAUACUGCCGGG